rnacentral:rRNA from 1 species
AUUGAACGCUGGCGGCAUGCCUUACACAUGCAAGUCGAACGGUAACGCGGGGCAACCUGGCGGCGAGUGGCGAACGGGUGAGUAAUACAUCGGAACGUGCCCAGUAGUGGGGGAUAGCCCGGCGAAAGCCGGAUUAAUACCGCAUACGACCUACGGGUGAAAGGGGGGGAUCGCAAGACCUCCCGCUAUUGGAGCGGCCGACGUCAGAUUAGGUAGUUGGUGGGGUAAAAGCCUACCAAGCCAACGAUCUGUAGCUGGUCUGAGAGGACGACCAGCCACACUGGGACUGAGACACGGCCCAGACUCCUACGGGAGGCAGCAGUGGGGAAUUUUGGACAAUGGGCGCAAGCCUGAUCCAGCCAUGCCGCGUGCGGGAAGAAGGCCUUCGGGUUGUAAACCGCUUUUGUCAGGGAAGAAAAGCUCUGGGCUAAUACCCCGGGGUGAUGACGGUACCGUAAGAAUAAGCACCGGCUAACUACGUGCCAGCCGCCGCAGUAA